ACCUGGCUGGCUGAGUCAGUAGAGCAUGAGACUCUUGAUUUCAGAGCCAUGAGUUUGAGCCCCAUGUUGGGUA
rnacentral:tRNA from 1 species